rnacentral:lncRNA from 1 species
AGAGAUCCCUGACCCAAGCAAAGAAACGGCGCAUAUCCCUCCUCAGGUCUUCGAUUCCUUCUUCUUCUAAACACAGAGAAGAUCGCUCCCUUCAAGAAAAACAAAAAAAAUAGCAUUUUAGAUUCAAAAAUGACAUCCCAAAUCAGAAAAUCAGAAGCUAAAAAUGGAAAGAAAACUUGAAUUUUCAAUGGAGAUUUGAAGAAGAAUUGAUUUCGAAGCUCGAUUUCUUUUCGUUCUGGGCUAUUAGAAGCUGAUUUGGACUACGCUGGUUGCUGAUGUGAGUAUGUGAGUUUUGCCUCGCUCGAAAUCUUCCUAUAAAAUUCAUUAAUUAUGAUUUUUCUUUUAUUGUUUGAUUUUUAGGAAUUAAUUGCAUGAUUUUGUGUUUAUUUGUAUUUUCCUUUUAUUAUUUUAAUUUUUAGGAAUUAAUUGCGUAAUUUUGUGUUUAUUUGCAUUUUCUUUUAUUAUUUGAAUUUUUAGGAAUUAAUUGCAUAGUUUUGUGUUUAUUUGCAUGUUGCGCAUUUUAAUUUAAAAUAAUUCAUAACAAUACAAAACGUUUGCAUUUAGGACUUAAUUUUUUACAUUUUUGGGUUAUUAGUUAAUUAAUAUUGAAAAUAAGAAAAAAUAACAAAAAAAUUUGUUAUUCUUAUAUUUGUUUAAUUUUAUUUUGAAAUUUAGAAUUUAGGUUAUUUUUAAAAGUUUAUUUAGUCUACUUUGUAGGAGUUAAAUAUACAUUGGUUUAGUUUUAUUUUUUAUUUAGUCUACUUUGUAGGAGUUAAAUAUACAUUGGUUUAGUUUUAUUUUUAUUAUUAAACAUUUGAAAAUAUAAUAAAAAAAUAUAUAAAAGAAUAAUAAAUACAUAUAACUUGGGUCAUUCAUAAAAGACCAUGAUUUGGGUUAUUUUCAACGAUCAAAACUUGGCCCAAAACCACCUAACCCAUUAAAUUUGACCCAUACCCAAAGCCCCCACCCGGUCCAAGAACGCCAGAUCCAAAAUGGCGUCGUUUACGCCAAAUGAAAUCUAAGCCAUUGAUCAAUCUUGAUCGAACAGUCGAGAUGUGGGUGGUGUUACAUUAUAUAAGUGUCAUAUAAUAUCCCCCUCCUGCCAGAAAACGUUGUACCCUGUCCAAAGCUAACCCUAAACUCCUCCGGUGUAACACCACCGUGCCUCCAACGUAUCCCCACCACUAGCCGCAGGUGGAGUAACUCCAAAUCCGUCCAAAUUAACACCCUAUGCUUACCGUCUUCUCCUAUUUCCAAUCCCCCUAAGAUCACCUCUCAAAAUCCAGCCAAACGUAUCGAAUAUUUUUCCAAAGAAGCGGCUGCUUCGCCGUCCAUGGCGGCGCCGGCUCCAAUAGCUCCCAAAUUCACACCCCAUACUCCCCUUGGCCUCCCCUACCCAAAAAUAAGCAAUGUUUCCUUCGAAAAACCCCAAGCAUCUCGAAUUUUAAAUCUAAAAUUAACCUAAUUUUGAAAUGGACUGUCAAGACUCUGAAUCGAAUUCCCAAAUGAAAUGAUAGGUUUGUUAUUACCAAGAACAAUCAUAUAACUUUAUUUGGGGGUUACAUUCGAAUCCAAUCAAGAUGAAGACCGGAAAAACAAAACAAAAAAAUUGGCGAGUCCCUGUUGCUAUUCCUACUUUGUGUGAAUUUUUGUAUGAUUUUUCAUUUAGCCAUAAUUUCUGCUCAUCGAUUUCUUAUGUUUUCUUUUCUUGUUUGUUAAAUGCACCCUGUUAAUUUUAAUUAAUGACACUUUUUUGUUUUUCGCAUCCAUGGUUAUUUUUCCUUCAAUUUACUUAGAUUUUUUUUUAGUCUCGAUUCCGUUUAGGGUUCUAAUUUCUUUUAUUGUCUAAUUUGAUUUUGUUAUUAGUAGAUUGAUUAAUAAUUAGAUUUGACAAUAAGAUUGCAUAUUAGUUGUAGCUUUGCAUGUCUUUUUUGGAGUGUGUUAGUUUUAGAUUUUGUUUGAGUUCAUUAGUCUCAGAUUUUCGAUUUGAAUUCCUAAUUAGUGAUUCAGAUUUGAUUAUGGUUUUGGUUAUAGCUUUUAGUUAGCAUUAAUUAGUUUAAGACUUAGCUUAGUAAAGAAUAGUAAUUCUAGUACACUAAAAGGGUAGAGUAUGGAUCCUAUGGAAUCCAAAAAUUUUCGUAGUUACUAGUGUUCUGGAGGAAAGCCAGCUGAUCCACAAUAGGGUUUCCAGCAGAACAGGGGAAUUCAUAGGGUUCCUCACUG